GACGAACGCUGGCGGCGUGCUUAACACAUGCAAGUCGAACGGAAAGGCCUCUUUCGGGGGGUACUCGAGUGGCGAACGGGUGAGUAACACGUGAGUAACCUGCCCUUGACUUUGGGAUAACUUCAGGAAACUGGGGCUAAUACCGGAUAGGAGCUCCUGCUGCAUGGUGGGGGUUGGAAAGUUUCGGCGGUUGGGGAUGGACUCGCGGCUUAUCAGCUUGUUGGUGGGGUAGUGGCUUACCAAGGCUUUGACGGGUAGCCGGCCUGAGAGGGUGACCGGCCACAUUGGGACUGAGAUACGGCCCAGACUCCUACGGGAGGCAGCAGUGGGGAAUAUUGCACAAUGGGUGGAAGCCUGAAGCAGCAACGCCGUGUGCGGGAUGACGGCCUUCGGGUUGUAAACCGCUUUCGCUCAUGACGAAGCUUUGUGUGACGGUAGUGGGUAAAGAAGCACCGGCUAACUACGUG
rnacentral:rRNA from 1 species